CAGUCGCCACGGGAAUACGGAGGGGGCUAGCGUUAUUCGGAAUUACUGGGCGUAAAGCGCACGUAGGCGGAUCAGAAAGUCAGAGGUGAAAUCCCAGGGCUCAACCUUGGAACUGCCUUUGAAACUCCUGAUCUUGAGGUCGAGAGAGGUGAGUGGAAUUCCGAGUGUAGAGGUGAAAUUCGUAGAUAUUCGGAGGAACACCAGUGGCGAAGGCGGCUCACUGGCUCGAUACUGACGCUGAGGUGCGAAAGCGUGGGGAGCAAACAGGAUUAGAUACCCGCGUAGUCCCUGUCUCUUAUAC
rnacentral:rRNA from 1 species